rnacentral:rRNA from 1 species
AAUGGGCGAAAGCCUGAUCCAGCCAUGCCGCGUGUGUGAAGAAGGUCUUCGGAUUGUAAAGCACUUUAAGUUGGGAGGAAGGGCAGUAAGUUAAUACCUUGCUGUUUUGACGUUACCAACAGAAUAAGCACCGGCUAACUUCGUGCCAGCAGCCGCGGUAAUACGAAGGGUGCAAGCGUUAAUCGGAAUUACUGGGCGUAAAGCGCGCGUAGGUGGUUCAGCAAGUUGGAGGUGAAAUCCCCGGGCUCAACCUGGGAACUGCCUCCAAAACUACUGAGCUAGAGUACGGUAGAGGGUAGUGGAAUUUCCUGUGUAGCGGUGAAAUGCGUAGAUAUAGGAAGGAACACCAGUGGCGAAGGCGACUACCUGGACUGAUACUGACACUGAGGUGCGAAAGCGUGGGGAGCAAA